rnacentral:rRNA from 1 species
CACGUAGGGGGCGAGCGUUGUCCGGAUUUAUUGGGCGUAAAGAGCUCGUAGGCGGCUCGGUAAGUCGGGUGUGAAACCUCCAGGCUCAACCUGGAGACGCCACUCGAUACUGCCGUGGCUAGAGUCCGGUAGAGGAGCGUAGAAUUCCUGGUGUAGCGGUGAAAUGCGCAGAUAUCAGGAAGAACACCCGUGGCGAAGGCGGCUCUCUGGGACGGUACUGACGCUGAGACGCGAAAGCGUGGGGAGCGAACAGG